CCAUCAUUGUUAAAGAUAGACUAUAUGCUUAUGAGAGGAUGUUGUUGUUGUGAUGUCGAGCUCUUGCACCACUCCAGCGGUAUGCGUUGUGUCAGAGAUGCUCCAGAGAGGUUCUUUGAUGUCAUGCAAUGUUGCUCUGGCAUCAAUAUUCAUUGUAGUGCAGCAAGCUUGUGAAAUAAUCUCGCAAAUGUCGUGUUGAAAUGCCAACAAUUUUGACUCUAAGCAGUGCACAAACUCACCCAAAUGUUGAACGAGGUUCGUAAUGGUUGAAAUAGGAGGCUCAAUGUUUGGUGAUGGUGGUGGAGUGAAGUUGGAUAUAGGUGAGGUGAAAGUGGUAGAAGGACAUGGUAUGAUUGUCUAAAAUACAAAGACUAAUAUUAUUACACAAGCUAUUUUAAAACACUUAAUAACACUACUCCAAAAGUCCUUUUUACAACACUUAAGUAUAAGUGUAUUAAAAAAGUAUUACAGUAGACAAACAAAAAGCUGUAAAAUAAAUGAAGAAGCCUAAAAACCGCAAGUGAAAUUUCUAUAUUUUUUAGUAAAAAAUAAAAAAAAAUAAUGUUAAACACCUUUUCUUCUUUUAUUUUGUACCUCACCCAUCAAGCUUCCCUUCCACUCGCCUUCAUCUCAUUGUUGUCAUUUUCUUUGAUUUGUCUUCUAUCUAACUUCAAUCGCCUCUCCAUCUGGCAUCUGUUCCUCCUGCAAAGUCUAUUUUCUUCUUGAGAAAUAAGAGAAGGAAAGCCAUAAAAAAUAUAUAGUUUUGAAAUAUUCUAUCUAUUGCAUCUUGUAGGAGAAAAUGAAGAAUAACAAAAUCUGAUCGAUUUCUGUUCCUCUCGUAAAGUCUAUUUUUAUUUAUUUUUUUCUUCUUCAGUUUUGAAGCUAGGUGUGCUUAUAAUCAAGAAGUCAACAUACCCUUUGUUUGAGAAAAGUGUCAGAAGCUUUCUGUAAAAAGACAUUCCAAACACAAUCAGUUUUGCUAGCACCACAAUGCAUCUAAAAUACGAUACCGACAUGUACAAUCCCGUGGCCAAGAUGAAGCAGGCCAUGAAGGCCCAGGCGUCCAAGGCCAAGGCAUCGGUGAAGAAAGCCCCCAAUGGUGUGCACAAGAGCAAGGUGUUGGAUUUGAUCCUUGCAGGUUCGGUGCUGGAGGCGGAUGCUGUCGGGGAGGCUCCAAUCAAGAUCGCUCUUAUGACGGAAUAAUGAGAUUAUAUUUCUUUGAAGAAAAUGUGAGUAAUGCUCGUAGUUGAGGUCUUUGGAACCAAAUAAUUUAUUUCUUAACUUUGUACACGUCAUGUUGCAUAUUUAGUGAUGAUAGAAUUCUAAUUGAGUAAAAUUCAUCUUGUAAUAUGACUUUAGAAGCCUAAUAUAGACUAAAUAUUGUAUUUCUAUUCGAGUAAUUAAUAAUCUAUAUUAUCUUGUGUGGCUUCAACGAUA